rnacentral:misc_RNA from 1 species
UCGAAUGGAGCUACCAGGAUACAAUGCCAUCGAUCCUUAUCCCCAUAUGAACGAACGAUGUCCAUCACUGCCUCCAAAAUAUUAUAGGCCACAGAAUUGCUAAACUACUUUUGACAUGAAAUUAUUAUACCUUGGAUUAUGUCAUUGGACGUUCAGGCAAUCUACUCUUUCUCUUGACACUACAUACUGAAGCUGCCCCGGGACAGAGUUUGGCUGAUGGUUGUAGAUAUGGCAUUGAUACUAUAAAAUUUUAGAGCAUUGGAUGAUAGAUAUUAAAUGUAUAGUGUAGACGGUUGUCGAAACAUGAACAGCAGUGUAGACAGAAGUGAAACCUUUUCGGUCACUUCGUUCCCAUGGUUGGAACCUUCCAUGUUAAGCUGAACUAAAAUUUGUUCUAUGAAAAAAGAGAUUUGCCGCAAGUUUUAGUUUAUGGAAGUCUUGUUUCUAUACUAGUUGAACAUGCACCCAAAAUCUCACAAUCAGAUCUCAUAUCCUGUAGUUUUGAGGAAUAAGUAUUGUUAUCUGGCACAUUCGCAGGCAUUCAGUUGUGAUUAACUCCAUGUAAUAAGCAUCAUAUUAGUGUUUGGUAAUAAAAGGUUCUGAAUAUUGCAG